UAUGACAUUGAGCCUGGACAAGUUGUUAAUAUCCUAUUAGCAGUUGCUGCAGGUGGCAUGGUAGAUUGUAGGGAUGAUACUUCUGCCACUGUUAUUGAAUGCUUCGAAAAUAAGGCCAUUUGCAAGCAGACCAAUGGUCAUGAUAGUUUCAGUAUACACCUAAACAACGCAAAAGAUGGCCAUUUUUUGCUUGGUGUUCUUCCUUAUAAGAACAUCACAUUGAGAUGCAGAUUGCCUGAACUCGUGGAAACAUGGAAAAUCAGAAUCAUAAAUUCACCUGUUUUGAUUAUGUUGGGUAAAGAAACGUCUGUGAAAUGCAUACCCAAUUGGGAAGAUGGCUUCAUCGGGACGUUCAACCAAUCAAAAGCUUGCAAUUAUAGUUUCAACACUCAGACAGUCACUUGGACAUCUCUAAGCCAUGUGGAUGAAGUUCGUGAUUGUUAUGUAACGUCUUACCAAGAGUGUGUAAUCCAUGGGGGUGUGACAAAUGCGGUAGCAGCAGGACGGGGUGUACACAGGCAAUUAUACU